rnacentral:rRNA from 1 species
UGAGGGAAUAUUGGGUCAAUGGACGUAAGUCUGAACCAGCCAAGUAGCGUGCAGGAUGACGGCCCUAUGGGUUGUAAACUGCUUUUAUGCGGGGAUAAAGUUGGGGACGUGUCCCUUUUUGCAGGUACCGCAUGAAAAGGACCGGCUAAUUCCGUGCCAGCAGCCGCGGUAAUACGGAAGGUCCGGGCGUUAUCCGGAUUUAUUGGGUUUAAAGGGAGCGCAGGCGGGCUUUUAAGUCAGUUGUGAAAUACGGCGGCUCAACCGUCGGACUGCAGUUGAAACUGGAAGUCUUGAGUUCACACAGGGAUGCCGGAAUUCAUGGCGUAGCGGUGAAAUGCUCAGAUAUCAUGAAGAACUCCGAUCGCGAAGGCAGGCAUCCGGGGUGUUACUGACGCUGAGGCUCGAAAGUGCGGGUAUCAAACAGGAUUAGAUACCCUGGUAGU